rnacentral:rRNA from 1 species
UACAGGGGGGGCAAGCGUUGUUCGGAAUUACUGGGCGUAAAGGGCUCGUAGGCGGCCAACUAAGUCACACGUGAAAUCCCCAGGCUUAACCUGGGAACUGCGUGUGAUACUGGAUGGCUUGAAUUCGGGAGAGGGAUGCAGAAUUCCAGGUGUAGCGGUGAAAUGCGUAGAUAUCUGGAGGAACACCGGUGGCGAAGGCGGCAUCCUGGACCGGCGUUGACGCUGAGGCGCGAAAGCCAGGGGAGCAAACGGG